GGAGGGGGCUAGCGUUGUUCAGAAUUACUGGGCGUAAAGGGCGCGUAGGCGGCCUGCCAAGUUAGGGGUGAAAGGCCUGGGCUCAACCCGGGAACUGCCCUUGAAACUGGCAAGCUAGAGUCCGAGAGAGGAUGGCGGAAUUCCCAGUGUAGAGGUGAAAUUCGUAGAUAUUGGGAAGAACACCGGUGGCGAAGGCGGCCAUCUGGCUCGGUACUGACGCUGAGGCGCGAAAGCGUGGGGAGCAAACAGGAUUAGAUACCCUGGUAGUCCACGCCGUAAACGAUGUGUGCUAGACGUUGGGGGUCUCAGGCCUUCGGUGUCGCAGCUAACGCGUUAAGCACACCGCCUGGGGGAGUACGGCCGCAAGGUUA
rnacentral:rRNA from 1 species